UACGUAGGUGGCAAGCGUUAUCCGGAUUUACUGGGUGUAAAGGGCGUGUAGGCGGGACUGCAAGUCAGAUGUGAAGCCCAUGGGCUCAACCCAUGGCCUGCAUUUGAAACUGUAGUUCUUGAGUGAUGGAGAGGCAGGCGGAAUUCCGUGUGUAGCGGUGAAAUGCGUAGAUAUACGGAGGAACACCAGUGGCGAAGGCGGCCUGCUGGACAUUAACUGACGCUGAGGCGCGAAAGCGUGGGGAGCAAACAGG
rnacentral:rRNA from 1 species